UCCUCCAGCAAAGGACCACCUCCUUAUCUCAAGGGUGCAGUUGUUACUGGUAUGGUGCAGGAGGGCCUGGCUGCUGCUGGCUAAGACAUCCUGUGUAUGCUGCAGCUAGGGUUUCCGUUAUGGGCUGCACCAAGCUCAGGGCAUGUACAAUACACCCACCCGUAGUUUCCAGUGCAACCAAAGGUGCUUCAGAGACGUGUCUCGGAGCUGGAAAGAGCCCUCCGUGAUCAGGCAGCGCCGCUGAAAGAUUCCUAGGAACGGUCUCUCCCCCUUCCCCCUUUCUGUGCCGCCCUCCUCUGGGAUCCUUUCCAGUCUGGACAGAGCUGUCCACUCCACGUCCUGUCCGCCUGAUCUCUUUCCGAAGGGCCAUCUGCUGGCAGAGCUGACAUGCUUCAGCCUCAAGGCUGCCUGGGAUCCUGGCAAGACAUGCAGCUGGGUUAGAGUUCCAGCGGAGAGCUUCCGUGGGGCCACGAGAAUCGCUGCGUCACCCAGACCCUGCUCCAGCCAUGAUCCGCCUGCGAAGCUGUGCCCUGUGCUGGGCUCUGCUGGGUGCCGCGACCCUGGUGCUUCUGUACCAAGCCGGGACUUGCUAUAGCCGGGGGAGCUUCCCAAGCUUUUCCUACAGGGAUCCUCUCGGAGCUCGCCAGCCCGGAGCCGGAGCCAUGCCAGUGCAGCCACCGGUGACCCUGCUGGGCAGUAGGGCCCCCAGCUCCACGCUGCAGCCGUUCUUGGGGGACUUGUAUGGCCGGGAUGAGACGUACCAAAGCUCGAGGUGCCCCAGUGGCAUCAGGAAGAGGAUCGUGAGCACCAAAUUCAGCAGCGUCUUCCUGGAGGCCAUCCCGGUGCUGCAGUGGGCCCAACAUGCCCGGCCGGCUGAGUAUCGACGCCUGCAGAACUACGGAGGGGCCCAUGGCUGGCAGGAGGUUGGCUGGCCUGUUGUGAGGGACGCACUGACCCGUCUCAACGCGUCGGCCAACGGGCGCAUGUUCGACGCCCGCCCCCGAGCUGCUGCGGGCGGCUCCCCCUGCGUCCACUGCGCCGUGGUGGGCAACGGUGGCAUCCUGAACGGCUCCCGGGCAGGGGCUGCGAUUGACCGGCACGACUAUGUCUUCAGGACCAACGGGGCCCUCACCAAAGGCUUUGAAAGAGACGUGGGCCGCAGGACCUCCUUCUACGUCUUCUCUACUAACACCAUGAUGAACUCGCUGCAUAACUAUGCCAGCAACGGCUUCCGCCAGCUGCCCCAGACUCUGGAAACUAGGUACAUCUUCCUCCCAGACCAUGACCGAGAUUACCUGCUGCUCCGGGCGGCCCUGACCCACCGCCCUGUCGACAGAGGCUCAGAUGAGGGUGCUCGGCCGGAACAAUACUUCGGGAAAGACCUGCGGGCGGAGAAAUUUAAGAUGUUUCAUCCUGAUUUUAUCCGCUACGUCAGGAACCGGUUCCUCCGCUCCAGCAUUUUGGACACCCCGCAGUGGAGGCUGUACCGUCCCUCCACCGGGGCAGUGAUGCUGUUGGCUGCCCUCCACACCUGCGAUGAGGUAAGCGCCUACGGGUUCAUCACCCCCAACUACCAGGCCUACUCCGAACACUACUUCGACCCGACGCACAAGGCCCUGCUGUUCUACGCCAACCACGACCUGCGGCUGGAGAUGAGCCUGUGGCAGGAACUGCACCAGAGCCAGCUUAUCACGCUGCACACGAGAGGCUGAAGUUCAGCCUGACUGAGUGACCUCAGCAGCUCCCACAGGCUGGUAGCAUUGGCACAGCAGGGCAGAGACGUUUUCUGGGUAGCAGAGCAAAGACAGAUCUUCAGACUUGGCUGUGUGCAACUGAACAGCCCUUGUCCUGCUCCUGGCUCGGGGUUGGCGUGGAAGGGGCCGCUAGAGUGGACUCUGGGGGCAUCUCUGCAAGGCCCAGUGCCAUCAGAGCAAGGACCUGCUCGUGCACAGAUGGAGUGGGCUCCAGAGUCAGCCAAGGCGGCUCCACACGGACGUUAGCCUGCUCUGGCCACAUCCCCACUGCCGUGCUCCUUGAGUUUCCCCUGUGGGGGCCCAUCCCUGCUGGAGGAAUGGGCUAGGAAGGCCAUGCGACCAGCACAGCUACAAUAAGCUUGGCCAAAGAUUCCCAAUUAAGGAGGCUGAAAACUGGCCUCUUGUUUAGUGGAUUAGGUGGGAUAAUGGGAUAACGGGACCUCUCAGCGGGGGAUUAUCUGAAUUCUCCUUUGGGGAGAAGGGCAGAAGCUGACAGAGGUUUUGCGGCUUGGGGAGAUAGUGGCUCAAUCUGGUGUCUACUCAGGGCGGGGGAGAUUAUGAGCUGAUCCAGCCGUAUCAGCAGGGAGUCUGGAAUAAGUUAGCAGGAUUGGCACAGGGGGAGAUCCCCCAGCUGCUGGAGCAGAGCUAGGGGCUCUCACCCAUGCACACUUGUCGCAGCAGGGAAGCAGGCGUCAGAGUGCAGGCAGCUGGCCGUGUGCCUCGCUUUAAGGACUGAGCAGCCCUGGGCCUGGCCCCGGCACUGUACGGUGCACUGGGCUGGGGGUGUCAGGGGAAAGGGUGCCGCGAGUUAACCUGAAUCCCUUUCACUGCAGCAUUCUGGGGAAUCUCCUCUUCCUCCUCUCUCCCCAUCGCACCAGCACCUUCCCUGGCUCUCAGCUUCCCUCUGGUCCGUCCUCUCCCGGCCCAGAUUCUGCUCAGUCUCAGAACGGGCCACAGUUGUGCUGAGCUGUGCUCAUGGGGCUCUGAGAACAGGCACUGCCCAGCAGUGCCAGGCCCUGGGAUGUGUCCAGAGGGACUUUAACCCCCAGCUCUAUGGCUGGUGCUGUGUGCUGGGGAGGGGGGUUGAAGGGUUCACCUCAGCUAUCCAGUGGGGUUUGUGGACCCCAGGUAUAUCUCUCAGUGUCCAGAGCCAGGGGCUGGGAGCCAGGCCUCCUGGCUUCUGUCUCAGCCACUAACUGCCCUCUGUCCGGCCAAGCGCCUAGGGCCAGCAGAAAUUCCUGGCUGUGGGUGCAGGCAAGGGGCCAGGCUCAGGGGUUGGUGUGCACUCUCUCUCCCGGCCCCUAGCUGUGCCAGCGCUGGCCUGGCGAAAGCAAAGGGCUCAGCUGCAGAAGAGAUCACACGAGAGAGUCUUUAUUCGGGGCAGGAAACGGACCCGAUGGAUGCAAACGGCACCAGGACUGCAAUACAUGUGCUGAGGCUGGGACAAGGGCGGGCGUGACGCAGGACACGGCACAAGGACAGGAACUUUCUUCACUCCCUGCACUAGUGCAGCAGCUGUGCCAAUGGUGCACUUGCCCUUCUCUGGGCAGAGAGCAGCCAGCUGGCACAGGCAGGGCUCUCGGGACGGUGCUGAGCUGGGUCCACUCUGAGUGGGACGGGAGGAGCUGGGGGAAGGGAAUGGAUUGAGGAGGCCCAAGGCUCGGAGCCGGGUUGGAUCUGGUUUUUCUUCAGUCUUUCUGCUCCCAGCCCCGGCCUGGCUGGCCCUGAUGCUCUGUUGGGGUGGGAGGCUGGGGGGAGAGCGGCACUGUCUUGAAUGCACCUGUUGCUGGUCGUGUGCGUCUCAGCCAGGGCAGGUGCUGGGGAGGUUCAGCUGCAGUGGGGCCAGGGGAGUGGUUCUUAUUUCUCAAGCCCUCUCUCCUGCCCUGGCCCAAAACUGCCUCCUACCGCUCUAGGCCUGGUAUGCAGCUUGGUACCCACCCCUGCUGUCCCCUCCCCGCCAGCCAGGUGUGGCAGCCCCUUCCCCUCCACACUGGGGUCUAGGCGACAGAACACACAGGACAAGCACAGUGCUGCAUGGGCGGCCAGCGGCGGCCUAUGUGGGGGGCUGCCCCCAAAGCAGACGGCCUGGUGCCAGGAAGUGGGGCGCUCCUUCUCCUUCUCCUCUGCCUCACUUCUUCUUGGGGAUCUUCUCCUUCGUGACCAGGUCGGAGAACUCUGCAGGGAGACGGGGGAGAGAAGCGGUGGGUGCUGGGCCAGGCUGCCUUGUGUUUUGGGGCCAGGGAGAUGGGCGGUAGGAGACUGAAUGCUGCAGCUGGCUUCCUGCGCCUUCCAGACAGCCCCGGGAGGCCGCUGGGGGGAGCGGAGUCUCCACUGAAGGUUGACACCCCCAACCCCCCGACAGUGCUGCAGAGGGCAGCUCCAAAGGGGCCCCAUGUUCCAGUGAAAGGGGGGACAGGGUUAGCAGAGCUUAGAUACCCCAGGGGCAAGUGCUAUGCCCCCCUCCCCCGGCGGCCAGCCUGCCCCCUACCUUGGAAAUCAAUCCUCCCAUCCCCAUCUGUGUCAGCCGCUUGGAUUAUAGCUUCAGCCUCCUCGUCUGACAAGGGCACUGCAGGCAUGGUGCUGGGCACGGUGGACAGGAUGUACCUGCGGGACAGGUGGCGCCAGGCUCAGGAGGCGGCUGGGGCCUCAGCUGGCCUGGGACAAGGAGGGUUUUAUGGUGCCAGAUGGGGCAGAGUGGCAGGUGGGGUUUGAAGGGACAGGCCAGACUCAGCCCAUGUAGCCCUCACAGCAUGGAGAUAGUGCCUCGGGCCUUUGGGGGUGCCCAGGGUGGUGUUUGAGUGUCUGGGGAAGGGCUUGUUGGGCUGAGAGCGGGUGGAUGCCCACGGACACUUGGGAACAUGGGCUGAGAGGAGACGGGGACAGCAACCAGAGCAGCUCCUGGGCCUGCGGCAGCCUGGAUCCCACUCUGGAACUGGGGGCACCGUGGCAGCACUUAGCCGUGGCACCGGUUGCAGGUGCUAGCCUGGCAGCCCUGGGGAGCACAGUCCUCUCGCUAGCCAGCUCAGCAACUCAGCACUGGCUUCCCCAGCGCUACCCUGCCAAGGUGGGGCACGCCGGGGGGGGGUAA